rnacentral:rRNA from 1 species
CCAGACUCCUACGGGAGGCAGCAGUGGGGAAUAUUGCACAAUGGGGGAAACCCUGAUGCAGCGACGCCGCGUGAGUGAAGAAGUAUUUCGGUAUGUAAAGCCCUGUCAGCAGGGAAGAAAAUGACGGUACCUGAAGAAGAAGCCCCGGCUAACUACGUGCCAGCAGCCGCGGUAAUACGUAGGGGGCAAGCGUUAUCCGGAUUUACUGGGUGUAAAGGGGGCGCAGACGGCGAUGCAAGCCAGGAGUGAAAGCCCGGGGCCCAACCCCGGGACUGCUCUUGGAACUGCGUGGCUGGAGUGCAGGAGGGGCAGGCGGAAUUCCUGGUGUAGCGGUGAAAUGCGUAGAUAUCAGGAGGAACACCGGUGGCGAAGGCGAUUCUCUGGACUGUAACUGACGCUGAGGCUCGAAAGCGUGGGGAGCAAACAGGAUUAGAUACCCUCGUACA